rnacentral:lncRNA from 1 species
GCUGCAUAUGCUGACAGCAGCUGAGAGGUUCAUUGAUUACAGCGUUCCCUCCUCGUGACAACUAAUCAAUGGGGAGAUGAAAGAUGUUCGGUUAAGUCGGGCACGGCUCCGGCAGAGGCGCUUCGGGGUGUGAGUGGGAAUCGAUGCGGCUGGGUGGCCGAGCUCCCAGCACACGUGCACGUGUGUCACUGGAACAGCAGCCUUGCUUGCGCAGUGGGCUGCCCGGGUCAGAUCUGGUUGUAGAGUGGGAUCCAGCCAAAUGUACCAGCCCCUCCUCUUCUGCACGGCGCGCUUAUUCCGGGAGCGUCUCUUGCUUGAAGUCUGGAGUGAGGGAGGCAGGGAAGGCUUGGCUGGCAUGGCAGUGUGUGAGGUUAUGCUGAUGGCCACGGGCCAGCAGGGUGGUAAAUCCAGCUUUGCAGCUCCCACCUCCAGCUGAGGCUGCUGCGGCCACAGGUGGCAGAGUGCCCACUCAGUGCUGGCUUGCUGUGCGUGCUUAUGUCUGCCAAAGACAAAUGCUGGUGGGUAACAAGGCACCUGCAGGCUUUGCAUUCAAUCAGAAGUUGCCUGUCCUCGGAGUAAAAGUACGAAGUGGGCAGGAAUUGCUAUGAAGACAUGGAGCUGUGUGCAAAGGCCUGAUCUGAAUCUAAUUGUGGUGAUCCAGAUAUGCCUGGAUCUGAUGAAGAUCACAGGUCCCAGACCUAAUCUGUUACUCACUGAUGCCAAUGAGGUGGUCUGCAGAGCUGAAGCAGGCAUUGCACAAACAAGGAUGUGGAGGAUAGGGAGCAAACUGAGCAGAUGUGAAUCUCGCACGAGCAGGACAGGUUUCCAGUGAGAAGCAGGGUCCUGCCAGAG